rnacentral:rRNA from 1 species
UACGGAGGGUGCGAGCGUUGUCCGGAAUCAUUGGGCGUAAAGGGCGCGUAGGUGGCCACUUCAAGCGUGCGGUGAAAGUCCGGGGCUCAACCUCGGAUCGGCCGUGGCGACUCGUGGGCUGGAGCACUGUAGAGGCGGGUGGAAUUCCGGGUGUAGCGGUGGAAUGCGUAGAGAUCCGGAAGAACACCAGUGGCGAAGGCGGCCCGCUGGGCAGUGGCUGACGCUGAGGCGCGACAGCGUGGGGAGCAAACAGG